rnacentral:rRNA from 1 species
AACGAACGCUGGCGGCAGGCUUAACACAUGCAAGUCGAACGCGUGUAGCAAUACACGAGUGGCGCACGGGUGAGUAACGCGUGGAUAUCUGCCUUUUGGUUCGGAAUAACUCCGGGAAACUGGAGCUAAUACCGGAUGGUUCCUUCGGGAUAAAGAUUUAUCGCCAAAAGAUGAGUCCGCGUACGAUUAGAUAGUUGGUGAGGUAAUGGCUCACCAAGGCGACGAUCGUUAGCUGGUCUGAGAGGACGAUCAGCCACACUGGGACUGAGACACGGCCCAGACUCCUACGGGAGGCAGCAGUGGGGAAUAUUGGACAAUGGGGGCAACCCUGAUCCAGCCAUGCCGCGUGAGUGAUGAAGGCCUUCGGGUUGUAAAGCUCUUUUGGCGGGGACGAUGAUGACGGUACCCGCAGAAUAAGCCCCGGCUAACUUCGUGCCAGCCGCCGCCGUAAGAC